rnacentral:rRNA from 1 species
UAGUGAGUUUGAUCCUGGCUCAGAACGAACGCUGGCGGCAUGCCUAACACAUGCAAGUCGAACGAGACCUUCGGGUCUAGUGGCGCACGGGUGCGUAACGCGUGGGAACCUGCCCUUAGGUUCGGAAUAACAGUUAGAAAUGACUGCUAAUACCGGAUGAUGUCUUCGGACCAAAGAUUUAUCGCCCAAGGAUGAGCCCGCGUCGGAUUAGCUAGUUGGUGAGGUAAAGGCUCACCAAGGCGACGAUCCGUAGCUGGUCUGAGAGGAUGGCCAGCCACAUUGGGACUGAGAAACGGCCCAGACUCCUACGGGAGGCAGCAGUAGGGAAUCUUCCACAAUGGACGAAAGUCUGAUGGAGCAACGCCGCGU